AUGCCAGGACUCCCUGCCAGACCCCCUGCGCCACGCAGACUAGAGCUGGUGAGUUGGCACAUCCCGAGUGAGGCCAUGCCAGGCAUUUGUAUAUACACACACACAUUCGCGGGCAAUCACAGAUGCACAUGUGCACACGCGCGCCUGAACAUGCAAAAACAAAAUGCACAUAUGCAUAACACUCUUCCAACCCUGUCUGUCAGUGUGUGUGUGUACAUCAGUAUCUGUGUCUGUGUGUGUACAUCAGUAUCAGUAUCUGUGUGUGUACAUCAGUAUCAGUAUCUGUGUGUGUACAUCAGUAUCGGUGUCUGUGCGUGUGUAUCAGUAUCUGUGUGUGUAUCAGUAUCUGUGUGUGUACAUCAGUAUCAGUAUCUGUGUGUGUGUAUCAGUAUAUGUGUGUGUGUAUCAGUAUAUGUGUGUGUACAUCAGUAUCUGUGUGAGUACAUCAGUAUCGGUGUCUGUCAGUGUGUACAUCAGUAUCAGUAUAUGUGUGUGUACAUCAGUAUCUGUGUGAGUACAUCAGUAUCGGUGUCUGUCAGUGUGUGUGUGUGUACAUUAGUAUCAGUAUAUGUGUGGGUCUUCAGUCUCCAGUAUGCCGACGGUGAGUCUCGUCGCCCUCCCAUGUGUGUGGCUGAUGGAAACUCUGAUUCCCCGGUCGGCUGCACCAGCACUGUGCCUCCCGAGCUGACGAGUGACACUGAUGAAUCAGAUUAUCUCUCUCCUUCCUUCCCUCCAUCCCUCCUUCCCUCUCUCCAUCUCUCGCAGGAGGCCUGACCUUUCCAAAUAAAACUCAUCUCCCUUGUUGAUUCCUUGCCUACAAAUCCCUUACAGCAACACUUCACUCUCCCUCACCUCACAAAGCCCCUACAGCAACACUUCACACUCCCUCACCUCACAAAGUCCCUACAGCAACACUUCACGCUCCCUCCCCUCACAAAGCCCUUACAGCAACACUUCAUGUUCCCUCCCCUCACAAAUCCCUUACAGCAACACUUCACACUCCC
rnacentral:lncRNA from 13 species